UUUUGGACAAUGGGCGCAAGCCUGAUCCAGCCAUUCCGCGUGAGUGAAGAAGGCCUUCGGGUUGUAAAGCUCCUUUCCCCCCCGAAGAAAAGAUUACUCUCUAAUAUAGAGGUAUUUUGACGGUACCGGAAUAAGAAAGCACCGGCUAAACUUCGUGCCAGCAGCCGCGGUAAUACGUAGGGGUGCGAGCGUGUAUUCGGAAUUUACUGGGGGGUAAAGCGGGCGUAGGCGGGUUUGUAAGUUAAGAUGUGAAAUCCCCGAGCUCAAUUUGGGACCUGCGGUUUAAACUACAAGUCUAGAAUAGGUCAGAGGGGGGUAGAAUUCCACGUGUAGCAGUGAAAUGCGUAGAGAUGGGAGGAACAUCAAAGGCGAAGGCAGCCCCCUGGGGUAACAUUGACGCUAAGGCACGAGG
rnacentral:rRNA from 1 species